UGGCCUGGGAUACUCUGCUGUCUAGUAGUAGAGGCUGGUAAUGAACUUGUAUCCUAGGACUCUCCCAUUCUCUACAUCUUUUCCUUUUCAGAGUCUCCCCUACAACGGCUGGAGGAAGUAAGAGAAAACCUUUGUCAGGUGUCUACUAGUUCAAGAACUAUGGAUGCAUGCUCUCUACCUUUUCCUCAUUUUAUCCUCAAAAAUCCAUGGAAAGAACUUUUGGAGAACAAAAGAAAGAGGAUAAUGGAGAAGAUCAUGAUGUGAAUUAUGUGAUCAUUGUGUGAAUCAGGAAAGACAAUAUGAAAAUAAAUAGAGCUGGACAAGGAACCUGAAUCUUCAUCUUGAUUCUGCAAAAUAUUGAACAAAGUAAACUGCCAUAGCAAAUAAACCAUAAAAUAUAAGGGUGGCACAGAGUGAAAUCAAGAUGCUGGCUGGGCUGUAUUAUCAUAUGGAGUUAGCAUCCUCUUCUACGUUCCUUCAGGCCCUUGGCAAAAUUCAGCUUCUUGCAGCUGUAUCUCUAAGGUAAGGUCUCCAUUGUUUUGCUGGUUGUGGGCUGGGAGUUGCUCUCACUUUAAAAUUUGUUUAUGUUCCUUAUCAUGUGUCUCCCUCCUUUUCCAAAACUAGCCAUGCCGUAUUUUUUCUUGCUUC